CCGUAUUGCAUAUAGGAGGUCCAGCCUGCCCAGUGACUAUUAGUUAAACGGCCGCGGUAUUCUGACCGUGCAAAGGUAGCGUAAUCACUCGUCCUUUAAAUGGGGUCAAGUAUGAAAGGCUAAACGAGGGCUUAACUGUCUCCCCCUCCCGGUCAGUGAAAUUGAUCUGUCCGUGCAGAGGCGGACAUAAAGAUACAAAGACGAGAAGACCCUUUGGAACUUUAGGUACAGAACUUAGCCAUGUUGAGCAAGUCAAUAAAAACGCUAUCCCUGAUGGUAUUAAGACUCUACCUUCGGUUGGGGCGACCAUGGAGCAAAAAGAAACCUCCAAGUGGAAUGAGGAGACCCUUAGAACUGAGAGAGCCAUCUCUAAGUCACAGAAAUUCUGACCAGAAAUGAUCCGGCCAGUUGGCCGAUAAACGGACCAAGCUACCCUAGGGAUAACAGCGCAAUCCCCUCCCAGAGCCCAUAUCGACGAGGGGGUUUACGACCUCGAUGUUGGAUCAGGACAUCCUAAUGGUGCAGCCGCUAUUAAGGGUUCGUUUGUUCAACGAUAAAAGUCCUACGUGAUCUGAUUUU
rnacentral:rRNA from 1 species